rnacentral:rRNA from 1 species
GUGAGGAAUAUUGGUCAAUGGGCGAGAGCCUGAACCAGCCAAGUAGCGUGCAGGAUGACGGCCCUAUGGGUUGUAAACUGCUUUUAUGCGGGGAUAAAGUGAGGGACGUGUCCUUCAUUGCAGGUACCGCAUGAAUAAGGACCGGCUAAUUCCGUGCCAGCAGCCGCGGUAAUACGGAAGGUCCGGGCGUUAUCCGGAUUUAUUGGGUUUAAAGGGAGCGUAGGCCGUGGAUUAAGCGUGUUGUGAAAUGCAGGUGCUCAACGUCUGCACUGCAGCGCGAACUGGUCCACUUGAGUGUGCGCAACGCAGGCGGAAUUCGUCGUGUAGCGGUGAAAUGCUUAGAUAUGACGAAGAACUCCGAUUGCGAAGGCAGCUUGCGGGAGCACAACUGACGCUGAAGCUCGAAAGUGCGGGUAUCGAACAGGAUUAGACACCCUGGUAGUCCGCACGGUAAACGAUGGAUGCCCGUUGUCAGGCUGUUUCAGCCUGGUGACCAAGCGAAAGCAUUAAGCAUCCCACCUGGGGAGUACGCCGGCAACGGUG